AUUGAACGCUGGCGGCAGGCUUAACACAUGCAAGUCGAGCGGAGAUGAGGUGCUUGCACCUUAUCUUAGCGGCGGACGGGUGAGUAAUGCUUAGGAAUCUGCCUAUUAGUGGGGGACAACAUUCCGAAAGGAAUGCUAAUACCGCAUACGCCCUACGAGAGAAAGCAGGGGAUCUUCGGACCUUGCGCGAAUAGCUUAGCCUAAGUCGGAUUAGCUAGUUGGUGGGGGAAAGGCCUACCAAGGCGACGAUCUGUAGCGGGUCUGAGAGGAUGAUCCGCCACACUGGGACUGAGACACGGCCCAGACUCCUACGGGAGGCAGCAGUGGGGAAUAUUGGACAAUGGGGGGAACCCUGAUCCAGCCAUGCCGCGUGUGUGAAGAAGGCCUUAUGGUUGUAAAGCACUUUAAGCGAGGAGGAGGCUACUGAGACUAAUACUCUUGGAUAGUGGACGUUACUCGCAGAAUAAGCACCGGCUAACUCUGUGCCAGCAGCCGCCGCAGUAA
rnacentral:rRNA from 1 species